UUAAAGGCCAGGAUUUCCAGAAC
rnacentral:piRNA from 1 species